UGGGGAGGUGGAGGGGGGCCCUCCUUAACAAAAUGACAUCACAAAGGAAGUGAGGGGAUUACAGGAAGGAUAUUCCAGACAGAAGGCUCAGCAAGUACAAAGGUCCUGCGGCGGGAGGGUGCUUGGCAGUCACAGAAAGGCAAGGCCAAUGUGGCUAAGAGGGGGUGCAGUACAAAGGUACUAAGGGGCCAAACCACACAGGGCUUUGUGGGCCACUGCAAGGAUGUGGCUUAUAUUUAGAGACAGGGGAAGUCAUCAGAGGGCUGGUACAGAGGUGGUGACAGGGAAACCAUUAGAAGCCCAACACCAGCCUGCAGGGAAGAAAUGGUAACCCCACCUACGGUGGCAGCAGUGGUGGGGAUGAGAUGCAGCCCAUUUGGGGUAUAGUUUGAAGGGAGAGCCAGAAGGAUUUGUUAAUGGUUUGGAUGUUGCUUGUGUAAGAAACAAGGGCGUUGAGAAUGAUACUAAGAUUUUUACUUUUUACGUUUACUGAGACAAGAGCAGCCCCCAUUAGGCAGCACGGUGAAUGUGAAGUUGGGCUUUGGACAGUUUACGCAGAUGCCUUGUAGACACUGCCACGGAGACAGACACAAUCUAGAGCUCCAGGGAGCCGUCUGGCCUUGAGAUAAGGAUGUGGGCGCCCAAAGUGGGCAGUAGAGGCAGGACUCUGAGGGAGUGAAUGCCACUUAGAGAGGAGGUCUGAGGGCUGGGUCCUGGGCACAGGGAGUUUGUCCGCUUUUCUGUAGUUUACAUUUCACAGUAAGAUUAAAUGCACAUGUGUAAGUGAGAAUGAGCAUUUUUUCCUUUUGUUAUAGAUCUAAAAAAAUACACACCCACAAUCACACUUUGGAGGCCAGAGCAGUGACCAGCCAGCACCCUUAACUUCCCAGCGCACUUGGAAACCAGGAUCAAAGGAGACCUUGCACUUGCAGUAAAACCGCUAGAAGACAGGCAUCACUGGGUCAUUUCACAGCCAUAGAAAGGAAGUGAGAGGUAAGGUGAUGGGUCCAAUAUGACCCAGCUGGUGACAGCAGCACCUGUGACAUCUGGCCUCACUACUGCCUGAGCGCAAAUACUCUGGACGUUACCUCAAGCGUGGGGGAGGUGUGAAAGGAAGACUGCACAGGUGGAAGUCCAGGAAGAAGCCCUUCUGGUGAAGAGCUGCCCUAGUUCCACAGCCCCCACCUCACCAUUUGGGAUUCCCUCUGCAGCCGGAAGCUGGUACGCGGGGUCCUGCGUGGCCCUCGAGGCCGCCUACAGGACGGACAAGCCUCGAGAACCUGGAUUAUUUCCUUAAGGGAUGUUUCACAAUCUACUGACCCACUGCCUCCUGUGCUGGCGCUCACGUUGUUUCCCGCUUUCCUGUCUGAGACAGUUAACGUCUUCACUCGACAGUUUUUGACCUGGUUUGAGCCACUUCCUUUCGACAGAUUCCAGGAAGCGGGAUGACUGCUCACCGUACAAACUUUCACUCAUUCUACAGACAUCAACCGAGUCUGACUGUGUACCCGGCACCGCACUAGGACGCUAGGCCGGCCCCGCAGAUGGGACGACACCCUGUCCGCAGAGCCAGAUCUUCCAACGGGCCAUUUUUAUCUGAUUUGAGCUGUCUUUGCCAAUUUCCCUUAUAAAGUCCUCUUGUUCGCUGAAUAACAUUUGACCUUGAGGAAGUUUAUCGUGAAAACAAACACAAGGAAGGUUGCAGCUUUGUCACGGAGAGGAAGAAGGUGGCAAUCUGGACGUCCAGCGCCUGGCAGAUGACCGCAAUGUGGUGUAGUGAGCGCAAUCCAGUGGACACAGCCAGAAGAUGGGGCGGGUGAAAGGAACAGUGGACGUGGAACUACAUCACUCACAUAAAUUAACACACGUGCACACAAAACAAGGUCGCCAAUUCUAAGGUAACCCAACAACAAAAGGAUCUCUAUUAACCACAUUAGAAUGGCUUCCUGUGGGAAGGAAGGGACUGGGGAUAAAAGGGAAUGAACAAACGAGAACAAUUUUGUGUGGAACAACGGUGGCAAUGUGGCAAGAAUGAAGAAAAUGACUAACUCAACCAUGUGUAAGUAAGAUCCAAAACAGUGCCUUUAAAAGAAAACCUUUGGGGUGCUUGGGUGGCUCAGUCAGUUGAGCGUCUGACUUCCACUCGGGUCAUGACCUUGUGGUUCAUGGG